CCUAGGACUAGAAACAUCUCUGACAGGACCUUGGGAUAAUGACAUAUGGCUAAUUUAGUUUCCAGAGUGUCCUGCCCACAGCUUCAGCCCAGUGAGAAGCAUGGAAUGUCUGUCAUCAACACCACCAAGAAAUCAAGAAACAUUGCAUGUGUGCUUGUGGGUAUAUGACAAAACACACCAAGGGAUCAACAUGAGAAAGACCUGGAAUUCAUUCAUUUACAUGUCUGAAGACUAAAUUGACUGGAGACCAUCCAUCCAUGUAACCGACAAUCCAUGUUUUAGUCCGGAACAAGAUUGUAAGUCCAAUAUUGAUUUCAAGAGAUGCUUAUUCAUUCAACAAAUAUUUAUUAGGCAUCUAUUAUGUAUCAAACAGUAUUUAGGUGUUGAAACACAGCAAUGAACAAAA